UGGCAUUGGCGGCAGCUACACAUGCAAGUCGGACGGUAGCACAGAGAGAGCUUGCUCCUCGGGUGACGAGUGGCGGACGGGUGAGUAAUGUCUGGGAAACUGCCCGAUGGAGGGGGAUAACUACUGGAAACGGUAGCUAAUACCGCAUAACGUCGCAAGACCAAAGUGGGGGACCUUCGGGCCUCACACCAUCGGAUGUGCCCAGAUGGGAUUAGCUUGUAGGCGGGGUAACGGCCCACCUAGGCGACGAUCCCUAGCUGGUCUGAGAGGAUGACCAGCCACACUGGAACUGAGACACGGUCCAGACUCCUACGGGAGGCAGCAGUGGGGAAUAUUGCACAAUGGGCGCAAGCCUGAUGCAGCCAUGCCGCGUGUAUGAAGAAGGCCUUCGGGUUGUAAAGUACUUUCAGCGGGGAGGAAGGUGUUGAGGUUAAUAACCUCAGCAAUUGACGUUACCCGCAGAAGAAGCACCGGCUAACUCCGUGCCAGCAGCCGCGGUAAUACGGAGGGUGCAAGCGUUAAUCGGAAUUACUGGGCGUAAAGCGCACGCAGGCGGUCUGUUAAGUCAGAUGUGAAAUCCCCGGGCUUAACCUGGGAACUGCAUUUGAAACUGGCAGGCUUGAGUCUCGUACAGGGGGGGUACAAUUCUCCAGUGUAUCGGUGACAUGCGUAAAGAUCUGGAGGAGUAUGCACUGUCGGG
rnacentral:rRNA from 1 species